GAUGAACGCUGGCGGCGUGCUUAACACAAGCAAGUCGAACGGUGAAGCCAAGCUUGCUUGGUGGAUCAGUGGCGAACGGGUGAGUAACACGUGAGCAACCUGCCCUGGACUCUGGGAUAAGCGCUGGAAACGGCGUCUAAUACAGGAUAUGAGCCUCUUCCGCAUGGUGGGGGUUGGAAAGAUUUUUUGGUCUGGGAUGGGCUCGCGGCCUAUCAGCUUGUUGGUGAGGUAAUGGCUCACCAAGGCGUCGACGGGUAGCCGGCCUGAGAGGGUGACCGGCCACACUGGGACUGAGACACGGCCCAGACUCCUACGGGAGGCAGCAGUGGGGAAUAUUGCACAAUGGGCGAAAGCCUGAUGCAGCAACGCCGCGUGAGGGAUGACGGCCUUCGGGUUGUAAACCUCUUUUAGCAGGGAAGAAGCGAAAGUGACGGUACCUGCAGAAAAAGCGCCGGCUAACUACGUG
rnacentral:rRNA from 1 species